UCUCAGACUCAACUCUGUUCGACUGUUCCCGUUCCACUGUUUGUUCGAAAACCUAAUUCCUAAAAUCUCCAGGCUCUAGCUGCUCUCUCUGCUCUCGAGUCUCUACUCUGACUCUCCGAGAGCUCCCCAAUCCAGUCCUUUCCAUCUCCAACUCUCCUUCAAGCUGUCUUUCCUGGUUCCUGGAAUAGUAGUUGCACGACGAAAAUGCCUCUAGAGCUAUAUCGGGAAGAUAAUGCAAACAGGGAUGUUCAGUCUUAUGAGUCUGUUACCUAUGAUGGUGUGGAGUACUGUCUCCAUGAUUGUGUAAUCUUUUAUCAAGCUGGAGAAGCUGAAACCUAUAUAGGUAAAAUUGUUAAGACUAUUGAGACAAAUAACCGCGGGAAACAAUUGGGGGUUGUAUGGUUCUUUCGACCAUCAGAAAUCCUGAAAUUAUCUCGGAGAUUAUGAUCCUCGAUGGAAUGAGAUAUUCUUAGCUUCUGGUGGGGUGAAGGCCUCUCAAACACCAAUUUUCUGUUAAUUGAGUAUGCUAAGUUGAUCUCAAUUACGUUCCUGUUCCCCUCGAAACAUUUUUAAGUACAGUGGUUACUGAUGUUCUUCUUCUAUGAUGUAUCAGGAAGCAGUCCGGGGGAAAUGCUCUGUUGUAUGCAUUUCCAAGGACCACAGAACUCCUCUUCCAUCAAAAGCUUAAUUUAGUUUUGAGGAUGGAUUGAUAGAUUGAUGAGACAUUAUUUUUUAUUGUUGUGGGUUAAUCUAAAUCUAUGUCGAUAUUAUAUUUGUCGUGAUUACUGAUUUUUAUAGGUUCCAACAGGGUACCCGAAACCUGUGGUAUAAUACAGGUUCCGGAUAGGUUUCAGUUCCAGGAUUGAACAUGGUAGGGUCCGGUUGUAAAAUCUUGGAACCGAUCCCUUAUAAGGUAGGGUUCGGGUAUCGUGAAAAAAAGGGUACCCGAAACCGAUCACCCCUAAUAUGGACAUCAAUCGCUCACAUGUCUUGAUA